CCCUUAGAUGUUCUGGGCCGCACGCGCGCUACACUGAUGUAUUCAACGAGUCUAUAGCCUUGGCCGACAGGCCCGGGUAAUCUUUGAAAUUUCAUCGUGAUGGGGAUAGAUCAUUGCAAUUGUUGGUCUUCAACGAGGAAUUCCUAGUAAGUGCGAGUCAUCAGCUUGCGCUGACUACGUCCCUGCCCCUUGUACACACCGCCCGUCGCUGCCCGGAACUGAGCCGUUUCGAGAAAGCCGGGGACUGACGGCUUGUGGGUGCGCAAGCACUUCUUGCCGAUGGAAACCAGUUUAAUCGGUAUGGCUUGAACCGGGCAAAAGUCGUAACA
rnacentral:rRNA from 1 species